UCGAUCGGUGUCGGCGCGCCGCCACCGCCCCCCCCAGACCCCGCCGCGGAAGAUGCGCCCUCGGCGCCGGCAUGCGCGGCCUGCGCUGGUGCGUCCACCAACGCUACCGAACCGCCACCACCGACGUUGUCACCCGCAGCCAAUCCACCUUCGCACGCUGGCAAACUUCAUACACAACUGGUAAAUCAAGACCUUAGAAUACUAUGAAUCGGUUUCCCUAUUCAAAUCUUGAGUAAAAAAUCCUUCGAUGGAUCUGAAGCGUGUCUCUAAAUUACUAGCUCUAUCAAUAAACGAAUGAUCGUACGAA